ACGUAAGUGGAGGGCGAACCCGGGGAAGUGAAACAUCUCAGUACCCGGAGGAAAAGAAAUCAACCGAGAUUCCCUAAGUAGCGGCGAGCGAACGGGGAUUAGCCCUUAAGCUUUAUUGAUUUUAGAAGAACACUCUGGAAAGUGUGGCCAUAGACGGUGAUAGCCCGGUAUUUAAAAGGAUUAAUAGAGUGAAAUCGAGUAGGUCGGAGCACGUGAAACUUUGACUGAACAUGGGGGGACCAUCCUCCAAGGCUAAAUACUCCCUACCGACCGAUAGUGAACCAGUACCGUGAGGGAAAGGCGAAAAGAACCCCGAAGAGGGGAGUGAAAUAGAUCCUGAAACCGUAUGCGUACAAGCAGUGGGAGCACAGAUUUGUCUGUGUGACUGCGUACCUUUUGUAUAAUGGGUCAGCGACUUACUUCUCAGUGGCAAGCUUAACCGAAUAGGGGAGGCGUAGCGAAAGCGAGUCUGAACAGGGCGUUCAGUCGCUGGGAGUAGACCCGAAACCGGGCGAUCUAUCCAUGGCCAGGUUGAAGGUGAGGUAACACUCACUGGAGGACCGAACCCACUUAUGUUGAAAAAUGAGGGGAUGAGCUGUGGAUCGGAGUGAAAGGCUAAUCAAGCCCGGAGAUAGCUGGUUCUCCUCGAAAGCUAUUUAGGUAGCGCCUCGUGUAUCACUCUCGGGGGUAGAGCACUGUUAUGGCUAGGGGGCCAUCCCGGCUUACCAACCCAUUGCAAACUCCGAAUACCGAGAAGUGCAAUCACGGGAGACACACGGCGGGUGCUAACGUCCGUCGUGGAAAGGGAAACAACCCAGACCGCCAGCUAAGGUCCCAAAAUCUAUGCUCAGUGGGAAACGAUGUGGGAAGGCACAGACAGCCAGGAGGUUGGCUUAGAAGCAGCCAUCCUUUAAAGAAAGCGUAAUAGCUCACUGGUCGAGUCGGCCCGCGCGGAAGAUUUAACGGGGCUAAGCAUAGUACCGAAGCUGCGGAUGCCAGUUUACUGGCAUGGUAGAGGAGCGUUCUGUAAGCCUGCGAAGGUGAACUGUAAGGUUUGCUGGAGGUAUCAGAAGUGCGAAUGCUGACAUGAGUAACGAUAAAGGGGGUGAAAAACCCCCUCGCCGGAAGUCCAAGGUUUCCUGCUCUAUGCUAAUCAGAGCAGGGUUAGUCGGUCCCUAAGGUGAGGCCGAAAGGCGUAAUCGAUGGAAAGCAGGUUAAUAUUCCUGCACCCCAUAUAGUUGCGAUGGAGAGACGGAGAAGGCUAGGCCAGCCUGGCGUUGGUUGUCCAGGUUUAAGCGUUUAGGAAGUGUUCUUAGGUAAAUCCGGGAGCACAAUUCUGAGGCGUUAUGACGAUCUACUAAGGUAGAGAAGUGGUUGAUGCCAUGCUUCCAGGAAAAUCUUCUAAGCUUCAGACUAUAUGGGUCCGUACCCCAAACCGACACAGGUGGACAGGGUGAGAAUCCCAAGGCGCUUGAGAGAACUCGGGUGAAGGAACUAGGCAAAAUAGUACCGUAACUUCGGGAUAAGGUACGCCCCUGACGGUUUACGCUGUCGGGGGCCGCAGAGACUAGGUGGCUGCGACUGUUUACUAAAAACAUAGCACUCUGCAAACUCGUAAGAGGAAGUAUAGGGUGUGACGCCUGCCCGGUGCCGGAAGGUUAAUUGAUGGGGUUAGCUUCGGCGAAGCUCUUGAUCGAAGCCCCGGUAAACGGCGGCCGUAACUAUAACGGUCCUAAGGUAGCGAAAUUCCUUGUCGGGUAAGUUCCGACCUGCACGAAUGGCGUAACGAUGGCCACACUGUCUCCACCCGAGACUCAGUGAAAUUGAAAUCGCUGUUAAGAUGCAGUGUACCCGCGGCUAGACGGAAAGACCCCGUGCACCUUUACUACAGCUUUGCACUGAACACUGGUCCUACUUGUGUAGGAUAGGUGGGAGGCUUUGAAGCGGUGGCGCUAGCCAUCGUGGAGCCAACCUUGAAAUACCACCCUGGUAUGGUUGGGGUUCUAACCUUGGUCCGUCAUCCGG
rnacentral:rRNA from 1 species